GUGGAAGUUAAUAAUUUUUAAAAGGUAUUUUAUCUAUUUAUUUAUACAAGAAGAGGAACAUUGCCAUCUUUUAUAUCAAUGGUCUUCGAGAAAAACACCAUAUACCCACUUAGAGAGCGAGAGAGCGAGAGAGCGAGAGCGUGCUUCACAGCAACUAGAGAAAGGAUCCAAAGGGAUCGCAUUGAUCCAAAUUAAGCUGAAUUAUUCCCCAAUAGUUAUUCUUUUCCUCAAUCGUAAGAUGUAAAGAAGACGACUUGCUUCAUUUUCCGGAUCAUGCGAUCUCAUUGGAUUCAUUCUUUGGUAGCUUCCGUUUUGGUCCAAGGGUCUCACUACCGGAGACUUCACCGCCAGAAGAUUCUUAGGCGGGUGGAACCAGUCAUUUAAAGAGGUCUUUGAAUGAUUGGUUAACACAAUUUGAAUCUUCUCAUGUAUCUUGAAAGUCAAAGAAGUAGGAAGUGGUAGCUCUUUCAUCAGCCAAAAUGGAUAUAGAGUUAUGGUUUCUAUCUUGAUAUAUAGAGGUGAUGUGGAUUAAAGAUGUGUUAUCAUCUAUGGGCAUUGCACACUCGAGUGUUAUGGAUUUGUACUAUGAUAGUAAAUAUUUUUUCCAUUGCAGCUAACCAUGUGUUUCAUUAGAGGACAAAACAUGUGAAGUCAGAUCGUCACUUCAUUAGGGAUGAUAUACAAGAAUAGAUUUUACGCAGGAAUCAUGUACCAACAACCGAUCAAUUGGCAGAUGUUCUUAUGAAAGCGCUUAGAUAACGUCCUUUUCAAUUGAUCUUGCUCAAGUUGGACAUUCGGGAUUUUUAUGCUCCUAACUUGAAAGGGGUAUUUAGAUCUAUUGAAACUAUGUAAUAAUUAUGGACGUAAAUUGUAAAUAUUCCUUGAUUGUUUUAGGAUUUUGUAUAUGUAAUCUAGAGGUUUCUUUUUCAACGUUAACAAAUAAAAUAAUAUAGAGAAAUUUCAUA